rnacentral:rRNA from 1 species
UACGUAGGGGGCAAGCGUUGUCCGGAUUUAUUGGGCGUAAAGAGCGUGUAGGCGGCCAGGUAGGUCAGCUGUGAAAACUCGAGGCUCAACCUCGAGACGUCGGUUGAAACCACCUGGCUAGAGUCCGGAAGAGGAGAGUGGAAUUCCUGGUGUAGCGGUGAAAUGCGUAGAGAUCAGGAAGAACACCAGUGGCGAAGGCGCUCUGCUAGGCCGUAACUGACACUGAGGGACGAAAGCUAGGGGAGCGAAUGGG